rnacentral:rRNA from 1 species
UACGAAGGAGGCUAGCGUUGUUCGGAUUUACUGGGCGUAAAGCGCACGUAGGCGGAUUCUUAAGUCAGGGGUGAAAUCCCGAGGCUCAACCUCGGAACUGCCUUUGAUACUGGGGAUCUCGAGUUCGGGAGAGGUGAGUGGAAUUGCGAGUGUAGAGGUGAAAUUCGUAGAUAUUCGCAAGAACACCAGUGGCGAAGGCGGCUCACUGGCCCGAUACUGACGCUGAGGUGCGAAAGCGUGGGGAGCAACAGGG